rnacentral:tRNA from 2 species
GGUUCCUUAGCCAAGUGGUAAGGCAAUAGACUGCAACUCUGUGAUCGCCGGUUCGAAUCUGGCAGGAACCUCCA